GAUGAACGCUGGCGGCGUGCCUAAUACAUGCAAGUCGAGCGAACAGAUAAGGAGCUUGCUCCUUUGACGUUAGCGGCGGACGGGUGAGUAACACGGGGGUAACCUACCUAUAAGACGGGAAUAACUCCGGGAAACCGGGGCUAAUGCCGGAUAACAUGUUGAACCGCAGGGUUCUACAGUGAAAGGCGGCUUUGCUGUCACUUAUAGAUGGACCCGCGCCGUAUUAGCUAGUUGGUGAGGUAACGGCUCACCAAGGCAACGAUACGUAGCCGACCUGAGAGGGUGAUAGGCCACACUGGAACUGGGACACGGUCCAGACUCCUACGGGAGGCAGCAGUAGGGAAUCGUCCGCAAUGGGCGAAAGCCUGACGGAGCAACGCCGCGUGAGUGAUGAAGAUCUUCGGAUCGUAAAACUCUGUUAUUAGGGAAGAACAAAUGCGUAAGUAACUGUGCGCGUCUUGACGGUACCUUAUCAGAAAGCCACGACUAACUACGUG
rnacentral:rRNA from 1 species